UUACAUUGAAGCCUAGCGAUAUGUAAGUUAGUGGCGGACGGGUGAGUAACGCGUGGGUAACCUGCCUUGUACUGGGGGACAACAGUUGGAAACGACUGCUAAUACCGCAUGAGCGCACAGAGCUGCAUGGCUCGGUGUGAAAAACUCCGGUGGUAUGGGAUGGGCCCGCGUCUGAUUAGCUGGUUGGUGAGGUAACGGCCCACCAAGGCGACGAUCAGUAGCCGGACUGAGAGGUUGAACGGCCACAUUGGGACUGAGAUACGGCCCAGACUCC
rnacentral:rRNA from 1 species